rnacentral:rRNA from 1 species
GGGGAUAGCCUUUCGAAAGAAAGAUUAAUACCCGAUGGUAUAAUCAGACCGCAUGGUCUUGUUAUUAAAGAAUUUCGGUUAUCGAUGGGGAUGCGUUCCAUUAGGCAGUUGGUGAGGUAACGGCUCACCAAACCUUCGAUGGAUAGGGGUUCUGAGAGGAAGGUCCCCCACAUUGGAACUGAGACACGGUCCAAACUCCUACGGGAGGCAGCAGUGAGGAAUAUUGGUCAAUGGGCGCAGGCCUGAACCAGCCAAGUAGCGUGAAGGAUGACUGCCCUAUGGGUUGUAAACUUCUUUUAUAUGGGAAUAAAGUUUUCCACGUGUGGAAUUUUGUAUGUACCAUAUGAAUAAGGAUCGGCUAACUCCGUGCCAGCAGCCGCGGUAAUACGGAGGAUCCGAGCGUUAUCCGGAUUUAUUGGGUUUAAAGGGAGCGUAGGUGGACAGUUAAGUCAGUUGUGAAAGUUUGCGGCUCAACCGUAAAAUUGCAGUUGAUACUGGCUGUCUUGAGUACAGUAGAGGUGGGCGGAAUUCGUGGUGUAGCGGUGAAAUGCUUAGAUAUCACGAAGAACUCCGAUUGCGAAGGCAGCUCACUGGACUGCAA